GAAGUGGGCUGCUGUAGAAGAAAAUGGCUGAAAGAGAAAACCUGAGAGAUGCAGACUCGCCAUGUACAUUAAUUAAAGAACUGACUGAAAAUCAGCACAAUGCAAAUGAAGAUAGAGACAGACAAGCUCUUUGGGAUGCUUAUCUGGACUUUGACCUUCCAUAUCCUGUAUCAGGUCCUUUCUGUAUCCCCAAUGGCGUUGGUGACUCGCCCUCCAUGACAGAGGGACUUUCUUACAUUCAGG